AGAAUCAACGCUGGCGGCGUGCCUAACACAUGCAAGUCGAACGAGAAAGUGGAGCAAUCCAUGAGUAAAGUGGCGACCGGGUGAGUAACACGUGACUAACCUACCUUCGAGUGGGGGAUAACCUCGGGAAACCGAGGCUAAUACCGCAUAACAUCGCAAGAUCAAAGCAGCAAUGCGCUGGAAGAGGGGGUCGCGGCUGAUUAGCUAGUUGGCGGGUAACGGCCCACAAGGCGAAGAUCGGUAUCCGGCCUGAGAGGGCGCGACGGACGACGACUGGAACUGAAACACGGUCUAGACUCCUACGGGAGGCAGCAGUGGGGAAUUUUGCGCAAUGGGGGAAACCCUGACGCAGCAACGCCGCGUGGAGGAUGAAGCCCCUUGGGGCGUAAACUCCUUUCGACCAAGACGAUAAUGACGGUACUGGUGGAAGAAGCACCGGCUAACUCUGUGCCAGCAGCCGC
rnacentral:rRNA from 1 species